GAUGAACGCUGGCGGCGUGCUUAACACAUGCAAGUCGAACGGUGAAGGCGGAGCUUGCUCUGCUGGAUCAGUGGCGAACGGGUGAGUAACACGUGAGCAAUCUGCCCCUGACUCUGGGAUAAGCGCUGGAAACGGCGUCUAAUACUGGAUACGAGCUGCGAGGGCAUCUUCAGCAGCUGGAAAGAAUUUCGGUCAGGGAUGAGCUCGCGGCCUAUCUGCUUGUUGGUGAGGUAAUGGCUCACCAAGGCGUCGACGGGUAGCCGGCCUGAGAGGGUGACCGGCCACACUGGGACUGAGACACGGCCCAGACUCCUACGAGAGGCAGCAGUGGGGAAUAUUGCACAAUGGGCGAAAGCCUGAUGCAGCAACGCCGCGUGGGGGACGACGGCCUUCGGGUUGUAAACCUCUUUUAGCAGGGAAGAAGCGAAAGUGACGGUACCUGCAGAAAAAGCGCCGGCUAACUACGUG
rnacentral:rRNA from 1 species